rnacentral:rRNA from 1 species
GAUGAACGCUGGCGGCGUGCCUAAUACAUGCAAGUCGAGCGAAGCGGGGACGGGUGAGUAACACGUGGAUAACCUCCUAUAAGACUGGGAUCACUUCGGGAAACCGGAGCUAAACCGGAUACUUAUAGAUGGUUCAGCGCUGAAUUAGCUAGUUGGUAAGGUAACGGCUUACCAAGGCCACGAUGCAUAGACGACCUGAGAGGGUGAACGGCCACACUGGAACUGAGACACGGUCCAGACUCCUACGGGUGACAGCAGUGGGGAAUCUUCCGCAAUGGGCGAAAGCCUGACGGAGAAACGCCGAGUAAGUGAUGAAGAUAUUAGGGUCGUAAAGCUCUGUUAGUAGGAAAGCAGUACCUAGUCAAAAAGCCGCGGCUAACUACGGGCCAGCAGCCGCGGUAAUUC